GGAAUAUUGCGCAAUGGAGGAAACUCUGACGCAGUGACGCCGCGUAUAGGAAGAAGUUUUUCGGAAUGUAAACUAUUGUCGUUAGGGAAGAGAAAGGACAGUACCUAAGGAGGAAGCUCCGGCUAACUACGUGCCAGCAGCCGCGGUAAUACGUAGGGAGCGAGCGUUAUCCGGAAUUAUUGGGUGUAAAGGGUGCGUAGACGGGAAAACAAGUUAGUUGUGAAAUCCCUCGGCUUAACUGAGGAACUGCAACUAAAACUAUUUUUCUUGAGUGCAGGAGAGGUAAGUGGAACUCCAUGUGUAGCGGUGGAAUGCGUAGAUAUAUGGAAGAACACCAGUGGCGAAGGCGGCUCUCUGGUCUGUAACUGACGCUGAGGCUCGAAAGCAUGGGUAGCGAACAGG
rnacentral:rRNA from 1 species